UUACUGGGCUUAAAGGGUGCGUAGGCUGCACGGAAAGUUGGGUGUGAAAGCCCUCAGCUCAACUGAGGAAUUGCAUCCAAAACUGCCGUGCUAGAGGGAGACAGAGGUGAGCGGAACUCAAGGUGGAGCGGUGAAAUGCGUUGAUAUCUUGAGGAACACCGGUGGCGAAAGCGGCUCACUGGGUCUCUUCUGACGCUGAGGCACGAAAGCUAAGGUAGCAAACGGGAUUAGAUACCCCGGUAGUCUUAGCUGUAAACGAUGAGCACUUGAUUGGAGGGUCCUCCAUAGCCUUCCAGUCGUAGCGAAAGUGUUAAGUGCUCCGCCUGGGGAGUAUGGUCGCAAGGCUGAAACUCAAAGAAAUUGACGGGGGCUCACACAAGCGGUGGAGGAUGUGGCUUAAUUCGAGGCUACGCGAAGAACCUUAUCCUAGUCUUGACAUGUAUGGAUUAACCCUGUGAAAGCAGGGCCACGCCUUCGGGUGGAACAUACACAGGUGCUGCAUGKCUGUCGUCAGCUCGUGUCGUGAGAUGUCGCGUUAARUCGCUUADCGAGCGAAACCCUUGUCUCUAGUUGCCAGCGCGUAAUGGCGGGGACUCUAGAGAGACCGCCGGCGUUAARCCGGAGGAAGGUGGGGAUKACGUCAAGUCCUCAUGGCCCUUAUGACUAGGASYUGCACACGUCCUACAAUGGAACGCACAAAGGGAUGCGAAAACGGGAGGUCAAGCAAAUCCCAAAAAUCGUUCCCUAGUUCGGAUUGCAGGCUGCAACUCGCCUGCAUAAAGCUGUAAUCGCUAGUAAUCGCGGGUCAGCAUACCGCGGUGAAUGUGUUCCUGAGCCUUGUGCACACCGCCCGUCAAGCCACGAAAGUGGGGGGCAUCCGAAGUCGCUGAGGUAACCGCAAGGAGCCAGGGAGGAAAGAUGAACUCUGCAAAAAAGACUAAGUCGUA
rnacentral:rRNA from 1 species